AAAUUGAAGAGUUUGAUCAUGGCUCAGAUUGAACGCUGGCGGCAGGCCUAACACAUGCAAGUCGAACGGUAACAGAAAUCAGCUUGCUGAUUUGCUGACGAGUGGCGGACGGGUGAGUAAUGUCUGGGAAACUGCCUGAUGGAGGGGGAUAACUACUGGAAACGGUAGCUAAUACCGCAUAACGUCGCAAGACCAAAGAGGGGGACCUUCGGGCCUCUUGCCAUCGGAUGUGCCCAGAUGGGAUUAGCUAGUAGG
rnacentral:rRNA from 1 species